UGGGGAAGGUAAACACGGCGCGACCCAACAGGCAAAAAGAAUAUCCAGACGCGACAAGAAACUAAAGAAGCAAAUAAACUCGCUGCUUCCACCGUGCCGUCUAUGCUCCGAUUUCAAUUUCCGAACCCUAAAUUUUAUUUUCUUGGGGAUUAAACUUUCUACAGCUCCUGCUCUGCUUCCACUUUUUCUCGUGGCUACUGAUUAAUUACCCUUUUAUUCUUGUGAGACUGAGACAAUGAUUUAAUGUCAGGAACUGAAGUUGAGAAGUUUCCUAGAAAAUAAUGUUCUCCAGAAAAAGAGAUUCCCAUUUAUUUUCUGUUACAAUUACUAGAAAAAUAAAAUGAUGCCAUGCAUAGUCUGGUAAAUAGUA